rnacentral:rRNA from 1 species
UACGUAGGGUGCAAGCGUUGUCCGGAAUUAUUGGGCGUAAAGAGCUUGUAGGCGGUUUGUCGCGUCUGCCGUGAAAAUCCGGGGCUCAACCCCGGACUUGCGGUGGGUGCGGGCAGACUAGAGUGUGGUAGGGGAGACUGGAAUUCCUGGUGUAGCGGUGAAAUGCGCAGAUAUCAGGAGGAACACCGAUGGCGAAGGCAGGUCUCUGGGCCACUACUGACGCUGAGAAGCGAAAGCGUGGGGAGCGAACAGG